UACAGCAGCCAUAUCAACCUGGAACUCACAACUGGCAGCCCACUGAAGCUCAGCAGGUGUGAGCCUGGUCAGUCCCUGGAUGGGAGACCUCCUGGGAAAAACUAAGGUUGCUGCUGGAA
rnacentral:rRNA from 1 species